UUUACUUACAGUUUCAAGUGAUAAUAUUCAUCCACGAAGUGGCCAUUUCGCGCAGCAAUCUAAAAACGGCAAAAAAGUAUUUUCCGAAAUAUAAAUCAACACCUAAGACGUAGCGUCAUCAAAGAGCUGGAUUUUGGAAGAUGUAUACAACUUGAGGAAUCAUAUUGGAAAUGAGGCGAAACUUAUCGAAAUUGUGAAUUGAAUGGAUCGAUGCCUCGCAUUUUUUUUGGGUCCGGAAAAGUUGUUUCGAAACACAUAGUCCUGAAAUUGAAGACGAUUUUUCCUUUUUUGGCUCUGAACUUGAGGAUGAAGGAGCUGUGACAUAAACGCGACGCAGCAUCAAACCAUCCAUUGUCGUUGGCUUGGUGUUUAAUGUUAUUUUUAACAAUAAUACAUAUGUUUCGUUUCUUUGUUUUUCCUUCUUUUACUGGCAACUACGGUAAAAACGAGCAAACUUGAGAUAUUCCUUUUUGUCGCUAUUUCAUAAGGAAUUUCGGUCGAGUUUCCCUCUGUCGUCAACAUCUACACAUGUACAUUCACAUUUUCGUUUUCCCAUGAUGUAACAUUGACUCUAAACAAUUUUCCCAGCUACAUACAUACAAACCAUUUUCAAAUGCUACUAAUGCACAAUACAUUUGGA